UACGGAGGAUCCAAGCGUUAUCCGGAUUUAUUGGGUUUAAAGGGUGCGUAGGCGGCUUAUUAAGUCAGUGGUGAAAGCCUGCAGCUUAACUGUAGAACUGCCAUUGAUACUGAUGAGCUUGAAUAUACUUGAGGUGGGCGGAAUGUGUCAUGUAGCGGUGAAAUGCUUAGAUAUGACACAGAACACCGAUUGCGAAGGCAGCUCACUAAGGUAUGAUUGACGCUGAGGCACGAAAGCGUGGGGAUCAAACAGG
rnacentral:rRNA from 1 species